CACUGAUUUCAGUCGUAGAUUAAUCUGUAAAGAGCAAAAAUAGCUGGACUUUGGGUCCAAAUCUCUUCACUUUUAAAACUAAAAUCCAUUUUUACUGAGUAAGCCGUAGUGUGGGAGUGAGGGAGACUGCUCCGCAGUGAGGCAGAGGGGGAGUGAGUAGCUUGGGAAUUCAGGGAAGAGGGGAUUUAAAAAGUGCCUCAAUUAAGACUUAAUGGUAGAAAUAAAUUCUCCGAAUGAGAAGUGAGCUGGCGAGGGAGUAAGGUGUUGUCCGGUAAGCCUACGCGUACUGACAGCAAUGGCAGCGUGACAUCAUGAGUGCAGCGAAAGGCAGGUGAUUUGUGGAAACUAGGCAGUGACAAUUUCUGAUGUGAAAAUUACAUCUGUCUCCUGGUUACUCCGGCUCACCACUUGAUCCUCUGAUCCUGCAAAUGGCAAGAUGACUCUUGAUAUUCGUUUAUUUUAAUAUUCUGGAUCUCUCCACAACAGGCUUUAGAAGUUCCCAAGUCACCCACCAAGAAUGAUCCCAUUGGGUUCUACAGGAGGCUGCCAGACUAGACGCACAGAUGUAGUUCGAACUUCUGGAAACAGGAUUCCUACAGGAGGUCCAGGCACUGAAAAAACAGAGAAUGAAAACAAGCUACUUAUGCAGCUUAAUCUUUACACAUGAAAUAAUUCUGGAGCUUUCACUGUUGAACUGUGUCCCAUUUGUACAUGAUGCUGUCCUUGAAUUUCGUUUUUGAGUUACCGCCUUGAUGAGCUUUUUUCUCGUUCUAUUUUCCUCCCUUUCUUACCUUCCUCUCUUGAACACACUGACUCCUGGCCAAAUGAGAUUCCAUUUGGCACCAGACAUGUCUGAUACUUUAACCAUUAUCACACCAACAUGUGUUAAUUGACAAUAAAGGAUGAAGGUGAAUGGUAUCACUAGUCCAGUCCAAUUCUGUAACAAUAGGAGGAUUCAGUGGAACAUGAUUAAGAAUUGAAACCCGAACUUAAAAACCCAUCUUGUCCAGAGGCAGUGAGACACACUCUAGUCCCUGACUGCUGUCCAGAUUAAAAUCACUGAACCUGGAACAGAUCGUGAUUAAAUCUGGAUGUUCUGUGCUUGUAGUACACCUACCCACUGGAUGUAUUAGCUGCCUUAUUUGUGUACUAUAUGCAAAUAUAAGACAGUAAAGAUAAGUCUGGCCAAUGAAACACAAUGAAAACUUGAGCUUAAACUUUCAUUUCAGAUGUUAAAAUCAAUAUCACUGUCAACAUCAACAUCAUCAACCCAUUUCAGGCAUGGUUCUCAACACGCAAAUUAAGAGGAAAUGUGGCUUUGUAUGACUUUAACAUAUCCAAAAGUGAAAUUAAUAUUUCUUUGAACAACACGUUUAACUGAAAGGUCACAAUUUAAUGUAAUGCGAAAAAAGCACUUAGGACUGCAAUGAAAGGAUUAAACAACUUUCAAGUAACUUUUUUUUAUAUCUCUCCAUUUUAAGAGAAAAUUGGUUCUGGAUCCAGAUAUCAUUGUGACAUUAUCUUUAAUUGCUAGAUCUCCAGUUAGUUGUAAUUUAAUGUAAUUAUAAUUGCUCCACCAAGUGCUUUUAUUGACUUUAAAAUCAAUGUUGGCUCUUUUUUAGAUGACUUUCACAGGAAGUUUCUCAACAGACAGCAGAUGAGCAAUUGCUUUCAAUUCAUCAAAUUUGUAAAGUAACAUUAAUAUGAACCUUGCUGACAACUUAUGCUGUCAUCAUUUGUGCACCAGCUGUGAAUACCCAUGGCCUGGUAAACAAA